rnacentral:misc_RNA from 1 species
AACGCACAUUGCGCCCACCAGUAUUCUGAUGGGCAUGCCUGUUCGAGCGUCAUUACAGCACUUAAGCCUAAGCUGCUUAGCGUUGGGGGCUCACCUCUGCGGGUGACCCCUUAAAGAUAACGGCGAGGUCUGCCUGGAGACCCGAGCGUAGUAAAAUAUCCUCGCUCGGGGCCCCGUCAGCCACUGCCACAAAUACCUAUAUUCUCUAAGUUUGACCUCGGAUCAGGUAGGAAUACCCGCUGAACUUAA